AGUGGGAUAGCUGGGUCAAAUAGUGGUUCCAUUCCCAUUUUUCUGAGGAAUCUCAAUACUACUUUCCAUAGUGGUUGCACCAAUUUGCAGUCCCACCAGCAAU
rnacentral:pre_miRNA from 1 species